ensembl:lncRNA
UGCCAUCUUCCUAAAUUCCAUAUAUAUGUGUUAGUAUACUGUAUUGGUGUUUUUCUUUCUGGCUUACUUCACUCUGUAUAAUUGGCUCCAGUUUCAUCCAUCUCAUCAGAACUGAUUCAAAUGAAUUCUUUUUAACGGCUGAGUAAUACUCCAUUGUGUAUAUGUCCCACAGCUUUCUUAUCCAUUCAUCUGCUGAUGGACAUCUAGGUUGUUUCCAUGUCCUGGCUAUUAUAAACAGUGCUGCGAUGAACAUUGGGGUACAUGUGUCUCUUUCAAUUCUGGUUUCCUCGGUGUGUAUGCCCAGAAGUGGGAUUGCUGGGUCAUAAGGCAGUUCUAUUUGCAAUAUUUUAAGGAAUCUCCACACUGUUCUCCAUAGUGGCUGUACUAGUUUGCAUUC